AGUGAACGCUGGCGGUAGGCCUAACACAUGCAAGUCGAACGGCAGCACAGUAAGAGCUUGCUCUUACGGGUGGCGAGUGGCGGACGGGUGAGGAAUACAUCGGAAUCUACUUUUUCGUGGGGGAUAACGUAGGGAAACUUACGCUAAUACCGCAUACGACCUACGUGUGAAAGCAGGGGAUCUUCGGACCUUGCGCGAUUGAAUGAGCCGAUGUCGGAUUAGCUAGUUGGCGGGGUAAAGGCCCACCAAGGCGACGAUCCGUAGCUGGUCUGAGAGGAUGAUCAGCCACACUGGAACUGAGACACGGUCCAGACUCCUACGGGAGGCAGCAGUGGGGAAUAUUGGACAAAGGGCGCAAGCCUGAUCCAGCCAUACCGCGUGGGUGAAGAAGGCCUUCGGGUUGUAAAGCCCUUUUGUUGGGAAAGAAAAGCAGCAGGUUAAUACCCCGCUGUUCUGACGGUACCCAAAGAAUAAGCACCGGCUAACUUCGUG
rnacentral:rRNA from 1 species